rnacentral:misc_RNA from 1 species
AACGCACAUUGCGCCCCUUGGUAUUCCGAGGGGCAUGCCUGUUCGAGCGUCAUUAUAACCCCUCAAGCUCAGCUUGGUAUUGGGGCCUGCCAUCCUGGCAGCCCUUAAAAUCAGUGGCGGUGCCAUCCGGCUCUAAGCGUAGUAAUUCUUCUCGCUAUGGAGUCCUGGUGGAUGCUUGCCAUUAAUCUUUUAACUUCUAUGGUUGACCUCGGAUCAGGUAGGGAUACCCGCUGAACUUAA